rnacentral:lncRNA from 1 species
UCUUUGCAAUGAUUGGAGGCAGGUGGGACACUGGCAGGAUAUGAAGGAAAACAUUUCCACUACGGCAAAAGCUUUGUAGAAGGAGAGGGAGGCUGCCUGUGUGUGUGCUUAACUAUUGCAGAAGGAAGAAGCACUGCUGAGGAGGCUGAUACCCAUCAGGAGCAAGGAAAGUCAGCAGAGACCUGCAUGAGGAGAAUGGAGCAGCAGUGGCCAGGAGCUGAC